AUGCAGCCGCACCAUGCCGCCAAAACAUCGACAUCAACGCGGAAGAUAGAACGCUGCACCACCUGGCAACCUCCACACCGUUGCCACUGCUGGAGAUACUCGGGGCCCACCAUCCACAUCGUCUCUCCCCCGAACAGCAGGUCCUCCCAAGACGGCGCCUCCAUGGAGGAUACGACACGUAGGAUGCCGCCGCCGCCCAAUCCAGAAUGA
rnacentral:rRNA from 1 species